CCUUCUUCGUUUCUUUUUCUUCCUCACUUCUUCUUUCUUUUUCGCCAAACACGCACAAAGGGAGAGAGAGAGAGAGUGGGUUCCAGAGAGAGAGCUGGAAGGGAGACUGAGACCGGAGAGAGAGAGUGAAACAGAGAAAGAGAUGCUGAGAGAGGGGGAGUGAGAGAUCGGGAGACAAAGAGAGAUCAAUGGGAGAGGAGAGAACCGGUGGGUCAACACCGGAGGAGAUGGAGGCGACGUCCGGUGGCCGGGAGAAGCACCGACCGAUGACCAAGCCCUAGGUCCCGAUUCGGCGACGGACAACGCCGGCAGAACGAAUGAAGCCGGUGGGUGGUCUGGAACCCGGCUUUCCGCGAGGCAGAGGUGAUCCAGCGGUUUUUGGAGGUGCGAUUUUUGGCUGUUUUCUGUGGUUUUCCGGUGGGUCGACUGUGGGAUGAUUUUUCGGCAGUUGUGUAGCGAAUUUCAGUAAAAGCUCGACUCUGACGCUUAUGACAAGUUCAGAUGGUCCAGUAAGACGAAGUUAUAUCCUUGUAAGGGCAUAGACCUUGCUAAGAGCAAUAGAUUGUUGUGAACCGGCCAAACCUUUAUAUUGUAUAAUUUGUCCCUUUUUGGAGUUCAAGGCUUUGUAAUUAAUUGUUAAUAGACAGAAUUAAUAAAAUUCAAAGUAUAAAAUCUAGAUGUGGUAAAUGCACGCUUCCAUUUAAAUGUUUUUAGCACUCAAGUUCGCGUUUUCCUUAUAUCCCAAAUCGGGGGCGUGACAGGUUCUUAUCUCGCUGCUAGUUCUGUUAUCGAGGUGGCGGAGAAAGUUGCAAAAGGAAAAUCGAAUUCUGCUUUUGCGAUCCUAGUCUUGGAAAGAAAAUGACUAUAUCAGGCGGUCAAGAAUAAAUUCUCAAGGCAAUUGAUGUUGGAUUGUAAACAUGGUGGGCAGUUCGGAUAUGUUGGCUAGUUUAUCCAAGUAGUCAGAUCUUGAAAAUAUUGAGAGGAAGCCGCUGGUUCAUCUGCACUCCUCACAUGGGCAAAUGGCAUAUUACUGGAAACAAGAGCAGGACCUCAGUGAUGAUUAGGCUGCUGCUACCAAGGACACGAGAGGCUCAGACAAAGACGGUCUAGAUACGAGGAACCACAGAAAGAAGGAAAGGUAUCGGCCUCUGCACCCAUGAUAGACCCCUAUGCAGUGUUUCCGGAGGUGCCAGCCUUUGCAGCUUUCCGAAGACCCACUUGCCGAGUUCGCGCCUAACCAUGCCGUGAAAUCUUUGAUUGGGCUCGAGAAAUCGGUGCCAAAACACAGACACUUCUUCCAGGCACUAAACAACAGACUAUCUGUACAGAGUGUGGAGCAUGGACCAUGCAGAGAUGGGCCCCGUUCGUUCCAGUGCAAAAUCCACAUAUGAUGAUUUCACACGACUGGCUGUUGUCUGGCGAGAAGAGCUAUGAUGUGGCCCUUAUUAGGCCACAUCACUAAACUUGCAUGAUGGAAGCAUUUGAUCAAGCUGGAAGAAACGUGCCCAAGCAGAAUACUGCUAUCUUCCAGCCGAUACAAGCGCAGCAGUGAUGAGGAGAACUGACAUGUGGUCCUUAUUCGGCCACAUCGCUCAACCUGUAGAAACCAAGGUCAAUGGUUAGGGCCACCGAAUGCUCCAAAACAAGAGCAAAAAGUGUUACUAGGAAGCCCCGAACUACGCCAUUAUGCGGUCUUCAUCCUCGAGCUUUUUAAGCCGUGGGAAAAGGCUAAGAGAUCCAAACGUGAGUCGGCGAGUUCGGUGAAUCACUGAUCAAAAGGCGUCAAUGGUGUUUUCGGAUGGGUUUUGACAUGGGUCGGCGAGAUCGUGAUCAUCCCAACAAGGACACGCUCGUCUUAACCAGAAUUCUUUCCUGCUCAAUUUUUCGAAGCUCAGAGAACACGUGCUGCCAUCGGUGUUCCUGCCCAGACAAUCUGCAUGAUUCCUAGCACCGUCCGCAAGGAAGUAAGGAUCAAGGCCGAGCAAUGGAGUCCAUGGCCAAGCUCAAAGUGCAGCAACACAGCCGCCUAGUGCUGUCAAUGCUAAGACAACACCUCCUCGCCCGGCCUCCUGGUCAGUCAUUUCUGAAACGCCAAGAACGUGGAGCGGCUAUAGCAUCUCGGUUUUCACCGAGAAUCAUUGUCCGACAAUCAUGUCCUUCAGACAUGGCAAUGUGGUUGAAGCAACAACCAAAAAAUGGCUCAACUUUCUCAACUUUUGAUAAGCAAAAUUCUAAAGGGAGUUAGCCUCGGUGACUUCCACGCAUGUACGCAAAUGAGAUCGGCACGUCAUUAUUUAUUUUCAAGAUCGAUUUUUACAGCGAACAAGGAACCGGUUGCAUGCAAGCGGUGGCAGUAGUCUCAAGGCCCCAAGCGCCUCGGUCCGUGGAGUUCCCAUGUAUGCAUGGCGAGGUUUCACGUCCUAGCCUUCUUAUCCUAUUCAUGUGGAUUUUUGGCUUCUAGUACCAGCCACCAAUCAAUGAUGAUACCUAUUCAAGGAACACUGUUUUUUGACAUCUAUCCGACCUCUUCAUUGACCAAUGACUCACUGCAAGGGAUACACAAAGGAAUGAGCUCUCGCUGCAAACCACAAACCUAACACUUGAAUGCAGGCUGUGGGGUUCGAAGCCAGGCACACUUAUGUGCAGCAGAUCUUAAGUCUGCCCCCUUAACCUCUCGGGCAAACCACAAGACUAACGCUAGACUUGCGUUACUAAAGUCUUUCUGAAUCCGGAUUCGGCUAACAAGGGCUCGGCUAACGACAGCGUCUACUUCAUGGAAAUUCUCAAGACCGAGUCAUCAAUCAAAGGGCGGAUUUUUCGAAGACUUAGCAUCAAUCUAACUGGCACGCCUCAAGUCUUCCAUGAAGAAUCAGACAGAGUCAAGUGCAAGAUAAGUUUAUCAUGUUCAUUUGUUAGCUUGAGUUGCUCAACAUUUAGAAUAUACUCAUCCUGGCAUUAGCUUUAAGAGAAAGCACAAGUAGAAAACAAACACUCUAUGUGUUUGAUUCUCUUUUCUUUUUGGCCGAAGUGCCAACGGCUAAAAAAAAAAAAAAAAAAAAAAAAAAAGGAAGCUCUGACACAAAUAUUCAGAUUUCUAACAAUCUCAGUCUAGGGGAUAAUUGUUAGACAUGCUACUCUGUACAAGAAGCCUUUCAACUAUACUUUGAGUUUUAGUUAGAAUUGUGCUCACCCAAAAUACCGGAAAUGUGUUUUGUUAAUAUCUUCUGCAGAAAUGACAAAAAGGGAAAAUCCGAGCAAAAGGUGAAAAAUCCGAAGCCGUACAAAUUCGAGCUGAGGAUAAAUCCGACCAAGGGUCCAAUUUUCCUGAGGGUCUAAUUUUUCGAGGGUCCAAUCUGAUGGCACAUUUCAAAGGUCUCUUCCGAGAAGCCCCAAUGCACAACUUCAUCAAAAUAUUAAGAUAAGUUCUCUCUUUACAUUUUUCGUUUAUGCUAGCCUACUCGUAAAUUUUUAGACAUUCAAAUAUAUCUCAUGCAUUGAUCGGUGAAAUUUAAAAUUAACUUCUCACCGCAACAUAUAAAAAUGAUUACACAUCAAGUCUAAAAAUUUAGGGGUACCAACAAACUUUUCCUCCAGUAGUACAAAACAAAUAUCCUAAACUUUCAUACUUAGCUAAAAAUCAGCUAAGUAUAAAAGUUGGGGGGUACCAACCCGGUGAAAUAGAAAAUGAAACAGAAAACUAUAUUAAGUCGCAUGAUUGAAUCUUAGUGCAAUUUUGCAUACUUUGCAUUAAUAAAUUGUUAAUUGCUAGAUUCUGCUACAUAUAUGCUUACCUAUGUGCCUUUUAGACACAAGCAAGGCUAAUAUUUCAUACAAGAGCUCUCUGUCUAGCGAGAUCGGAAAAUUCUGAAAAAAUACCCAUGCUUUGUCAAGCUUCUCCUACACAAGUCUUCCUUGGCUACAGAAGUCAAGAGCUCAUCAAGAGAGCCCGUCAAGAGAAUUUUGAUGGCAACUAACUAAAGAAUAUUCUUUGGAAGAUAGGUGGCUUCUAGAAGACCCUGUGUUGCAUACUAAAACGCAAAAAGCCAUCACAACAAACUUAUAUGACUCGAAUCACGUUGAGGGGAUUUGAGCCGAGACUCGAAUCACGUUGAGGGGAUUCAAGCGGAACUCGAAUCACGUUGAGGGGAUUCAAGUCAGAGAUACUUAUAUGACUCGAAUCAUGUUGAGGAGAUUCGAGCCGAGACUCGAAUCACGUUGAGAGGAUUCUAGCCAAGACUCAAAUCACGUUGAGGGGAUUCAAGUUGGAGAUACUUAUAUGACUCGAAUCAUAUUUAGGGGAUUCGAGCCGAGACUUGAAUCACGUUGAGGGGAUUCGAGCCAACCGAGACUCGAAUCACGUUGAGGGGAUUCAAGUCGGAGAAACUUAUAUGACUUGAAUCACAUUGAGGGGAUUCGAGCACUACAACCUCAUCCUGCCUCGAGAUUUCUCGGCACGAUUUGAGCACAAAAAGGCCUCGGCACAAGCUAUGCCCCCAUAAGCCUCGGGCCACCAUAAGCCUCGAGCCACCAUAAGCCCCGAGCUGCUGUAAGCCUCGACACCAGUCCGAGCAUCCAAAGCCUCAGCCAAGGCUCCAAACAUCAUCAAACGCCAACAACUACAGUUGAUUGGAAAUCAACCUAUCAACUCAGGUAUGAAAACUGAUCAUAUUAUUCGAUACAUAUAUACAUCAGUUCUAACAGAUUUCAGGGAUCUUGCUUCGGCAAAAGUCCUGGCAACAAGCCAAACGGGGAGACAACCCCCAUAAAAAAAAAUCAAACAGUGAGACAACCCCUACAAAACAAAUCAUACAAGGAGAAAUUUUGCUCCAGAAAUAAACCAAACCAUACACGAGGAAGUGGAGAAGCUACUGCAAGCUGGUUUCAUUUGAGAGGUUGACUAUCCUGAAUGGCUAGCCAAUAUUGUGUUGGUAAAGAAGUCGAGUGGAGACAACCCCUACAAAAGAAACACAUAGCAAUACCCUACAUGAUCUACAUGCUAGAAAUCUGAGGUCCGAUCCCAAGAUCCAAGGAUGAAAGAUCCUGAGUCUUAAAAAGUCUGAGACAAAAAAUUUUCCAAGUCUGAAAAUGUCUUCAAGACAAAAAAUUUUCCGAGACUGAAAAAAGUCUCCGAGAUGAAAAAUUUUCCAAGUUUGAAAAAGUCUUCGAAACAAAAAAUUUUCCGAGACUAAAAAAGUCUCCGAGAUGAAAAUUUUUACAAGUCUAAAAAUGUCUCCGAGACAAAAAAAUUUCCGUGACUAAAAAAGUUUCCGAGAUGAAAAGUUUUCCCAAUCUGAAAAUGUCUUCGAGACAAAAAAAAAAAAAAAAAAUUUCGAGACUAAAAAAGUCUCUGAGAUGAAAAAUUUUCCUAGUCUGAAAAUGUCUCCGAGACAAAAAAAAAUUUCCGAGAUGAAAAAUUUUCCUAGUCUGAAAAUGUCUCCGAGGCAAAAAAAAAUUUCGAGACUGAAAAAGUCUCCUAGACAAAAAAUUUUCCAAGUUUGAAAAUGUCUCCGGGACAAAAAAUUUCCGAGACUAAAAAAGUCUCUGAGAUGAAAAAUUUUCCCAGUCUAAAAAUGUCUCCGAGACAAAAAAAUUUCCGAGACUAAAAAUGUCUCCGAGAUGAAAAAUUUUCCAAGUUUGAAAAAGUCUCCGAGACAAAAAAUUUUCCGAGACUGAAAAAGUCUUCGUGACAAAAAUAUUUCCGAAACUAAAAAAGUCUCCGAGAUGCAAAAUUUACCAAGUCUGAAAAAGUAUCUAAGACUGAAAAAGUCUUCGAGACAAAAAAUUUUCCAAGUUUGAAAUGUCUCCGAGACAAAAAAAUUUCCGAGUCUGAAAAAGUCUCCGAGACAAAUUUUUUUCCAAAUCUGAGCAAAAUUCUGAAGCAAAAAUAGGAAAUUUCCCAAGAUGGAAAUAAAAUUCCGAAGUACAAAAGAAGAUUCUCAAUGCCCGACUAGCUGAACAAAUCAGCCAAUGGGAAUCGGGGGGUAUCUGUUGGGGAAAUUAUCAUCCCCUAAGCAAAUGGGCUUAUACCCGAACCAGGGCCCAGUUGAUCUUGCUGGCCCAACUUGACCCGCUCAGUCAUUAUGGCUUAACAGAGUCCUAUAACACCUUGGAGGCUAUAUUUGGAACACAUGGGAUAAAUACAUUAUCACAUGAGGAGUAAGUGUCCCACUCUCCCACUCAACCUCUAUCUCAUCUAACUAUGGGUCCCACUCAGCCAUGACAUGAAGGUGGAACAAUGCGGUUGAGAACUGUGUGCCUAUAAAUAAGCUGCUACCCCAGAUACAAAGGACACUCUGAUUAGAUACUAAAAAUAUACAAAAAACCUCUCGACUCUCAAUACUCUCCAAAACUGUCCACUAACUUAGGCAUCGGAAAGGGGAUGUCGGGAGACCUCUCCUUUUGAUGCAUUGUUUAUUCGUUGUAGAUUAUGAAGAACACGGUGAAUCAAAGAUCCACACGUCACCAGAUAGAAAACUGUUCUAACAGUUCGAAUCGUUUCCGAAUGCCAAAUACAGGAUUGAAGAUCAAUCCACACCUGCAAAAUAGAAAGGAUUUAAGCACAAGAGCCUAUUAAUGGAUGCUGGCAGAGGAUAGCUCCGAUACUUUAGUCAGUACUGUGUUUAAAAGGGAAACUGAAUGUACUAAGUAUGAGUUUUGAGGUUAGGGCCAAAAGUAUAUUUUAUUUAGUUCAGAUUUAUCUUUUAUAGAAGUUCCAAUAUAACUGCUUUCAUGCAUCUAGCUUUCAGGUGUGAGUGCCCCCCAUGAUGGCCUAAAUUUGAGUGUCAAUUAUCCUUUAAAUGAGGAACGUGUCCCAUGUUGUGAAUCUGUGCACGGUUAGCACCCUUGGAAUUCACUUCAAUGGUUUGCGAAUGGAUUCCCAGCUAGGCUGGUAGAAUAGGACCGGGCUUUGGAUCAAUUUUGGGCUCAUGGAUCGGUUUUUUUGGCCUAUAUAUACAAAUAUCAUGGGCUGUCACCCUAAUUCUUUUAUCCUACGUGGCAGGUUAGAUAAUAAUAAUUUUAUGUUUGAUUGGGUCUACGAUUGGCGCUGACCCUUAUAGUUUUUUGGUCGUUAUACCUCUUAAAUGCAACGAUUAAUUGGCAGAAUUUCAGCACGUCUAACUUGGAAAUUUCGAAGUGGCAGUUGCGCAUCCCACCAAAAAACUCCUUUUCAGUACCGCCUUCGUUAGCCUUGUCUUUUCACCUUUGAAUGUCUCUUCGACUUUUCCGUCUCUUUGUUGUCGUUAUCUCCCUUCUUGCCCAGGCUCGCUUUUCAGUCUCUUUGCUGUCGUUAUCUGCCUUCAUGCCCAUACUCAAGCUCGCAUAUGGUCUGUUUAAGUAUUGAAUUUUUAAAAUUAGAAUUAAAUUUUAAUUUUAUUUAUAAAUUUCAAGGAAAAAAAUAUGUUGAGGUAUUGAAUUUUUAGAUUGAAAUAUAUUAUUUUUAAACGGUAAGAAAUGAUUGGAAGUUUGAAAAGUUGUGUAUAAUGAUCAGUAAUGUGAAAAGCUGUGUGAAAUAAUAAUUUAAAUAAUAAUAAUUUAUUAUAUAUUGAUUGUUUAAUUAAAAAAUAAAUAAAGAAUUUUUUUUUUAAAAAAUUAAAAUUAAAAAAAAAAA